CAAAAUAUACUUUCACUGAUCAUUUCUGCAGUAUACUACUAGAGAAAUUUCUCUUAGAGUACCAGAAACCACAAGAAGGAGACACAGAGUUCUGUCCUGAGGGUGAAACUUCGCUCUGGGUGUUUCUUCUGCAACUGCCUUUUGCCAUUGAUCGACGUUUUUCUCUUCCUUUGGGAGAGGAAGAUGGAGAGAACACAUUCUGACAGGU